AGAGUUUGAUCCUGGCUCAGGAUGAACGCUGGCGGCGUGCUUAACACAUGCAAGUCGAACGGUGAAGCAGAGCUUGCUCUGUGGAUCAGUGGCGAACGGGUGAGUAACACGUGAGCAACCUGCCCCUGACUCUGGGAUAAGCGCUGGAAACGGCGUCUAAUACUGGAUACGAGCUGCGACCGCAUGGUCAGCAGUUGGAAAGAUUUUUCGGUCUGGGAUGGGCUCGCGGCCUAUCAGCUUGUUGGUGAGGUAAUGGCUCACCAAGGCGUCGACGGGUAGCCGGCCUGAGAGGGUGACCGGCCACACUGGGACUGAGACACGGCCCAGACUCCUACGGGAGGCAGCAGUGGGGAAUAUUGCACAAUGGGCGAAAGCCUGAUGCAGCAACGCCGCGUGAGGGACGACGGCCUUCGGGUUGUAAACCUCUUUUAGCAGGGAAGAAGCGAAAGUGACGGUACCUGCAGAAAAAGCGCCGGCUAACUACGUGCCAGCAGCCGCGGUAAUACGUAGGGCGCAAGCGUUAUCCGGAAUUAUUGGGCGUAAAGAGCUCGUAGGCGGUUUGUCGCGUCUGCUGUGAAAUCCCGAGGCUCAACCUCGGGCCUGCAGUGGGUACGGGCAGACUAGAGUGCGGUAGGGGAGAUUGGAAUUCCUGGUGUAGCGGUGGAAUGCGCAGAUAUCAGGAGGAACACCGAUGGCGAAGGCAGAUCUCUGGGCCGUAACUGACGCUGAGGAGCGAAAGGGUGGGGAGCAAACAGGCUUAGAUACCCUGGUAGUCCACCCCGUAAACGUUGGGAACUAGUUGUGGGGUCCAUUCCACGGAUUCCGUGACGCAGCUAACGCAUUAAGUUCCCCGCCUGGGGAGUACGGCCGCAAGGCUAAAACUCAAAGGAAUUGACGGGGACCCGCACAAGCGGCGGAGCAUGCGGAUUAAUUCGAUGCAACGCGAAGAACCUUACCAAGGCUUGACAUAUACGAGAACGGGCCAGAAAUGGUCAACUCUUUGGACACUCGUAAACAGGUGGUGCAUGGUUGUCGUCAGCUCGUGUCGUGAGAUGUUGGGUUAAGUCCCGCAACGAGCGCAACCCUCGUUCUAUGUUGCCAGCACGUAAUGGUGGGAACUCAUGGGAUACUGCCGGGGUCAACUCGGAGGAAGGUGGGGAUGACGUCAAAUCAUCAUGCCCCUUAUGUCUUGGGCUUCACGCAUGCUACAAUGGCCGGUACAAAGGGCUGCAAUACCGUGAGGUGGAGCGAAUCCCAAAAAGCCGGUCCCAGUUCGGAUUGAGGUCUGCAACUCGACCUCAUGAAGUCGGAGUCGCUAGUAAUCGCAGAUCAGCAACGCUGCGGUGAAUACGUUCCCGGGUCUUGUACACACCGCCCGUCAAGUCAUGAAAGUCGGUAACACCUGAAGCCGGUGGCCCAACCCUUGUGGAGGGAGCCGUCGAAGGUGGGAUCGGUAAUUAGGACUAAGUCGUAACAAGGUAGCCGUACCGGAAGGUGCGGCUGGAUCACCU
rnacentral:rRNA from 1 species